AUACGGAGGGUGCAAGCGUUAUUCGGAAUCACUGGGCGUAAAGGGUGCGUCGGCGGUUUGAUAAGUCUGAUGUGAAAUCCUAUGGCUCAACCAUAGAACUGCAUUGGAAACUGUCAGACUAGAAUACUGAAGGGGCAGAUGGAAUUAGUGGUGUAGGGGUAAAAUCCGUAGAUAUCACUAGGAAUACCGAAAGCGAAAGCGAUCUGCUGGGAAGUUAUUGACGCUGAGGCACGAAAGCGUGGGGAGCAAACGGGAUUAGAAACCCCCAGUAGUCC
rnacentral:rRNA from 1 species